AGAGUUUGAUUAUGGCUCAGGACGAACGCUGGCGGCGCGCCUAACACAUGCAAGUCGAACGGAGCUGUCUGUUGGAAGUUUUCGGAUGGAAGAUAGAGAGCUUAGUGGCGGACGGGUGAGUAACGCGUGAGCAACCUGCCUUCGAGAGGGGAAUAGCACCUGGAAACGGGUGGUAAUACCGCAUAAGCCGGGAAUACCGCAUGGUAUAACUGGAAAAGGAGCAAUCCGCUUGAAGAUGGGCUCGCGCCCGAUUAGAUAGUUGGUGAGGUAACGGCUCACCAAGUCGACGAUCGGUAGCCGGACUGAGAGGUUGAACGGCCACAUUGGGACUGAGACACGGCCCAG
rnacentral:rRNA from 1 species